GUCAGGAUAGCUCAGCUGGUAGAGCA
rnacentral:tRNA from 1 species